UAAUAUUAGUGACAGUUUCAGACUUUAGAUCAACUUAUAUUACAACAACGAGUUUGAAAACCACUUGAUCAUGUUCAAAUUUACUGCAAUUGUAUUGCGAACUUGAAAUACAAAAAAUUUUCUUCACUAGGGUCACUAGUUGUAAAAAUGUUGGUAUUUCAGCCGGGUAUGUGGCGCGUACCUGUAAUCCUGCUUCUGGGAGGCUUGGUGUAGUGGAUGGCUUGAGGCUGGGAGUCCUGCUGGAUCGUCGCUUGCGUCGAACAGGUGUCCGCACUAAGCUUGGCAUCAACAUGGAUCGGUUGGAGGAAUCCGGCAGAUCCAGGUUAUCUAAGGAGGAGCGAAUCGGGCCAGGAGGGAAACCGAGCAGCCAAAAGUUCCCGUGUCGGGCAGUAGUGGGAUCGCGCCCGUGAGUAGGCGCCUUUCAGUAGCCCAGCCAAUAAAGUCACACCUACAUCUUUUUUCGUCUUUUUCUAAUCAAAUUUCAUAGAUUUUGUAUUUUGUUGACUUUAUUUCACCAUAAAAUUUGUUUUCCGAAUUUUCAGCAUCAGUCGGGAACAUCGGCAUCGCACUGUGACAAGCUAUAGCUAAAUUGAAUCAAUCGUUCUCGUAGUUGGCAGUACGGGAAGGGAACAAUAAGGCCUCAUGAGUCCUUGCAGCAGCAGAAUUUGAUUUAUUUAAUGUUACAUUUUUACUGAUUGAAAAAAUUGCUAAUCAAAUUUUCGCUAUUAUUUCAGUAUAGUACAUCAGCAAAGAAAAAAAGUCGGCUAUUUAAAAGUUUGUGGCCUUCUGAUUUAGGAAUUCUGUGCCGAUUUCUUGGCCCAGUUAGUGGGCUGAAUCGAGGAUUGAGCUGAAUUCUGUGCCGGGCUGGAUCAAGAAAUGCGCUUUUGCCAAUACUAUCCUGCUGUCCAGCCAAGUAUUGAUUUGACUGUAUGACUAAGGACUUCACAGUUUACAGUAGCCUGCCCUAGUUCGACAAUACGUAUUAUAAAUUUUUUCCUUUUAUUCUGCAGUGGCAAUUUCCCUCAAGGUAACUUUUCUUAUAUCUUUCCUCCGAGAGUGACAAUAUACCGGAAGUUGUGCUAGUCACGUACUCACGGCCCAUAUCAGCCGAUGGAUAAAUUUCGUACCAAUGGCCAAUGAUACCUCGAGGAAAUUCCCCACGUCUUGGAAAUUAAUAAAUUAUUUCUUUGGUGCGCCAGCUCCCCUGAUCAUGUAUUGAUGAAUUAAAACUAAAAAUGAUUGGAAAAGGAAAUGACAAUAAAUCAAGUGUGGUGAAUUUCAAGUAAUUUAAUAUUUCAAUGGUUAUCUGGCAUGUUUGCUAUGCGACUCCAUCCUAUCUCCUAUCCCAAGCUUUCGUUACACGCGAAUUAUGUACGAAAUAUCCUAAUAAUAAUAAUACACUGUUAAUAAAAAGAAA